rnacentral:rRNA from 1 species
GCAGUCGAGCGGACAGAUGGGAGCUUGCUCCCUGAAGUCAGCGGCGGACGGGUGAGUAACACGUGGGCAACCUGCCUGUAAGACUGGGAUAACUUCGGGAAACCGGAGCUAAUACCGGAUAACACCGAGGACCUCAUGGUCCUUGGUUGAAAGAUGGCUUCGGCUAUCACUUACAGAUGGGCCCGCGGCGCAUUAGCUAGUUGGUGAGGUAACGGCUCACCAAGGCGACGAUGCGUAGCCGACCUGAGAGGGUGAUCGGCCACACUGGGACUGAGACACGGCCCAGACUCCUACGGGAGGCAGCAGUAGGGAAUCUUCCGCAAUGGACGAAAGUCUGACGGAGCAACGCCGCGUGAGCGAUGAAGGCCUUCGGGUCGUAAAGCUCUGUUGUUAGGGAAGAACAAGUACCGUUCGAAUAGGGCGGUACCUUGACGGUACCUAACCAGAAAGCCACGGCUAACUACGUGCCAGCAGCCGCGGUAAUACGUAGGUGGCAAGCGUUGUCCGGAAUUAUUGGGCGUAAAGCGCGCGCAGGCGGUUCCUUAAGUCUGAUGUGAAAGCCCACGGCUCAACCGUGGAGGGUCAUUGGAAACUGGGGAACUUGAGUGCAGAAGAGGAAAGCGGAAUUCCACGUGUAGCGGUGAAAUGCGUAGAGAUGUGGAGGAACACCAGUGGCGAAAG